ensembl:lncRNA
GUCUUAAUGCAGCUUGAAAGCUGAUUCAUUGGAGUAGGGGGCAGCGUCCUCUCUGAGGAAGGCAGGGGAAGCUGGGAGGGAACGUGACGGGCUUUUGAGGAAGGGAAGGAGGUAUCGAGGGUGCAAAAGAGAACUCAGCGGCAGCACUUGACCGCUGUGAUUGGGAAGAUGCGAGGUGUGGCCAUGGUCGGAGCAGCUCGUGCUCUUCAGGGUGAUUGUGCAGUGAGCCCCGAGGCGCUCCCGAGCAACGGCGCUGGACUGGAGCUGGCCAAAGGGCUGUGGCCAUGCACAGCAUGGCUGUAAACAGAGGUGUUUGUUCCCUGGCACCGGUCAGCUCUGUAGGUGACGGAGCUCUCAAAUGCCCUGGCGUUGGAAGGCCGAGCGAAAUCUCCCUGGGAAGAAGGGAACCCUGAGCACCGGAGUUUGGCCUGGAAGGUGGCUGGUAGAAGAGGGUGGCUGAGGACGCUCUAAAGGCAGGAGCUGAAGGAGGCAGCCUGGGAAGCCUCUGGUCACUCUCAGCAGCAUCAGCGGGCUGGUAUCGGAGAAGGGCUUCUGGGGGCUUAAGGUUUCCGUCUUGGUCCUGAAUUGCCUGGAUUGGACCUGGAUUCUCCACUAUGGGGAUGUCGCCUUCCUUUUCUCCUACUGUGGUUGUGCCUGAGACACGGUCCUGGUGUCGCAGGUGAAUUACUCAGGGAAGUCAUCCGUAGCGGGUUAAUUAAAAGGGCUUUCUUCAUCAUGAAGAGAUGAUCAAAUUGUAGGGAAAUAAUCUGAUUUUAUUUUUUAUAAUUGUGCUAUUAUUGCAGAGCCCUGCAUAGUGGAAAUAAUAAAACCUGUCAAAGUCACAUGGCAAGAAGAUCCAAUGUUUCCAAGACAGCAAUUCUGAGUGUGAUGGUGAACCGGAGGCAUCAGAAAGCAAAAGGGACAAAGAAAUGCAAGUUAUAUUUGUAGCUGUUGUCUACGUGGUUGUGGUAGGUUGAUGCUAUGAGAAUAUUAAUAGCAGCACCUGGCCCACAGGGAGAGUGACAUCUUCCUUCCACGUCUUUGGACAAGGGCAGUCGUCUGUGAAACCAUUCCUUGCUGCACAGUAUGUAGUGGUCAGAAAUGCCAAUACCACACGUGGCUGUUGAGUAGAAAAGCUGACUUUCUAGCUCAGUGCACAAGAACUCAGCUGGGUAGUGGGUUUGGCCCAAAGUCAAAUCGCAUGUGAAGUUUUCUUCAGAAAAGUUUUUUUAAUAGGAGGCUGUAUUGGGUUACUGUGGAGUAGUGUCCUUCAAGAGAUACUAUUUCUCUGGAGCCUUACAGCCUUACAGCUUGGACUUGUGCUAACGGAAUUUGGCACUAACUCUUAUGAUGCUAAAUUUCCUUUGUGUUUUUUCUAGGUUUUCCUCUUUGCCACAGACAGAAAGUGCUAGAUGUUUCUUCUUCUGCACAGAUGAUGAACACCUAAGAGGUGUAACAGAACUUAGUCAGCCUCUUUUUGACAAGUUAUCUAGACAUUUUGGAUCCUUUCAGGCAUAUAUCUGAUGCUUAAUUGUUUCCUGUGUUUCUGAUGUUCUUUUUAGAAAUAUUGACUAUUCUUACCAGCUACAAAUGCCCACAUGGUUUUUGAUCCCAAAUACUGUGGGUUUUUUCUUGUUAAUAUCAUUAAUUUCAGAGUCGAAAACAAAACAAACAAACAAAAAUAAACCCCAAACAAAAAAAGAAAAAGAAAAAA